CAAGAAAAUGCCUAAAAUCUAAAUACAUUUAAAGAUAUGUGUUGUAUAUUUCCACCUGCAGGGGAGCUACCUGAGACAUUGGCCAUUAUCCUCAGUGAAACAAACUUUGAUUUUCCAGACAUAAGGAAGAGAUGCAAAAGCUUCUGCAGUGGCUUCUCUCCCGAAUCAGGCUGUGAAGGAGACUGAAGUCUCCUCACAGCUGGCUUCAGAGACAUCUCAGACUCCUCCUGCACACGUCUUCCUUCAUUACCUCACCC
rnacentral:lncRNA from 1 species